AAAAAAGAAGGAAAAAAAGUAAUGCAAAUUGAAAGGUACGAGUAUAGUAGUUAGUGGCUGCAACGCCUUGGGGACUUAAAGUACAAUUAAGGACGCACAGCUGACGACUGCCUUGAGACAAGGACAUUUCAUACACUGCUUUUUUUUGUGUGUAUUUGUGUGUGUGUGUGUGUGCUCUCCAUCGACUAAAGCACGAAAUUAAGUGCAGAUUAUCAGCAGAUUAUAUUUUAAUAGCAUUUCAAGCUGUUGCCUUUCACGACAAAACCUAAAGGACGUCAACGGCAACGGCAACAGCAACGGCAACAGCAACAGCAACGACGACGACGGCGACCAGCCGCAGCCAAAAGGACUUGAAUAACAACAAAUACAUUGUAACAAUGUGUUAGUGCGCCGGUUGUGUGUGAGCGCAUGUGUGUGUGCGCAUGUGUGUGUUAGUCAAUGUGAGCAAGAGCGGCUUGUUACACGAUGGCAGCUCUUCGAUUUUUUCAAAGCAGCCUCAACUAAAGCAAACAUAAGCGCGUUGGAAAUUGAAAUAAAAGCAAGCCGAGUAGUUUUAUUGCCCAGUGUUCCGUGAGUGUGCCACAAAACAAAAAAAUAGUAAAAAGAAACGAAAAGAAAAGAAUUGAAUUAAAACAUUAAGUAUACGCGGUGUGAAAGCUUAACGAAGCUGAAGGAAAAUCAAAGCAACAAUGUGCGCACCCCAAACGGACUUGCAGCAAAACUAAACAAAACUGAACUGAGCUGAGCUGAAUUGAAGAACUGGAGCGUGGUUUCCCAAAGUAAACUAAACAGCAGUUCGUUCUGUUUGUCGUUCGAGCUCUGCGUGGAAAUGCAAACAACGUUAUUAGCAGCGCAGGCAGUGUGGCAAAGACGAGUCUAUUAAUAAAACAAACAGACAACAGGCUGAGAGAAAAAAAAAGGAAGCAAAAAAAUGAAAGCGAACGAAAGCCGAGUGGGAGUUGAAGGCAAAUCGAAACUGCUAAACGGCUGCCAAUGAGACGGCAGAACACAGGCCACAUCACACCCAGCAAGCGGGCUUAGGAGCGAAGGAAGCCAGAGCACUUGACGGUAUCGGAACAGUUAGCUGAAAACGUUCGGGCUGAAAGCGGAUUGCGAAUUUGCUAUAUUGACAUAAGGAAAUCGUUAGCCGGCUUAGCCUCAUCCCGAGGCACAUUUAAAAUUAAAC
rnacentral:sRNA from 1 species